AGCAGGCCAUACAGUCGAAAAUUAUUUUCAACUCAAAUAUUUGACAAUGUGAUAAUACAUACAUAAUUAAUCUUUUUGUAAAUAUAGAAUGAAUUGUUUUACAUAAUUUUAAAUUAAAUAUAAUAUUAGAUUGUAUUGAAAGAUAUAAUGUAAUUGUAAAGAUUAUCACGAAGUUGUUGUCGCAUUCCAUCCUAAAACAUCGUGACAUUUACGUACAUGAUAAACAACCAUCUUUGGUUAUUUUUCUACAAGCUCAAUUAAAAUUAUAUUGAAAGAUGUGACAGCAAUGUUAAGUAAAUAGUCUAUCUUAAAAUUUAUUUUAAGCAGUUUUGAAAUUGCAAAGUAUUACAUGAAUUCAUUAGUGAAGAAGUUUUCAGCUCGAAGUGGAUCAAUGGGUUUGAAAUAAUUAUAGACAAUGUUUAUACUUGGUAUUUUUCAAUCCAUAUAUAUUCUGGAACCACUUUAAUGAAUUAUUUACUUCAUGUAAUCCAGAUAUAAUGUCUGCUCCAUACUUAGAUAUUAAUACUGGUUUUUUGUAUGGUUCAUGCCAAACUUGAACUUGAUUAUUAUUCCUUUGAUAAUCUUAUUUAAUUUAUCAGGAUUAGAAUACUGAAUAUCUGUAAAAACUUAUCACGUCAUAGCAAUGACCGAUUUUAUGGCCCUUGAAAAUACAUUUAUUUUUGUAAAGAGAAUUACAUAAAUUUUUAUAUGAGUACAAUCAAGAUAUUUACAGAAAAUACAUAUACAGCAAUAGUUAUUGGUCUAGUUGGAUCAACUUGCUUUGUAUACUACACUACUUACUUAAAAGAAAAAGUUGAAUCUGGAUAAGUUGUUCUAAGUUCAGUAGCAACUAACCACAUAAUAACAGAUGGUUUAUCUUUACCUCUUUGGAUAAGUUCCAAUAAAGACUAUUUUACAAACAAAGUUGAAGAAAGUUUUUCAGAUCGACAUUCAUCAAUUAUAAGAAAUUCCAAUCAAAUAAAAAUAAUUUCCUUAAUAAAUGUUAUUUUAUUAAAUGGUGAAUAACAUUUCAGUUAAUAUUUCCAAUGAAAGGUGAAGAGCAUAUUUAUAAGUAAUAUCUAGUACUUCAUCGUAUGGAUAAUGAAUACUAUUAAAGAUUAAAUCUAAUCCUCUCCUUACAGUAUCUUCAUAUCUUCCAGCUAAAGCCAGGAAAAUAUAGAUUUUUUAUUUAUGAACAAUAAUGCACUCCAUAUCUUGUCAUAAAAACCUAUUGAAAGUCUAUGGAUAUCAGACUUUUCGUCUUUCACUAAUGUAAUUUUGACCUAGAAUGUUCGAAUUUUUUGUUGUUUCUUGUUGAAAGACCAUAAUUCAAAUACUGAUUUGAAUUACUUCAGAUAUGUAAAAGUAUCCAAGUAUCUAGUUUCUUCAUUUAUGCUACAUGGCCACCACAAUUUUAGUCAUGUUAAAUGUAAUGUGCCUUGAAAUUAUUAAGUUAACCAUUUGUAAAUAAUUAAUUUUCAACAUAAAAAAAGACUCAUUAGAAUCUCUUAUUUCAAUGAUGUAGUUAUAAUAACACCACUAUACUCUAACUCUGUCAAGGCUGUGAUAUAAUUUUAAUAAACCCUAAGGGCUUUCUAUACAACAAAACGUCUUCAAAGUUGAAAAAAAUAGAUUUAUAUGAAUCGAUUAUCUUGGUUCUCUCAAGAGGAAUGUACUUAUGAAUAACUACAUUAAUUGAAUAAAAUCAAAAACAUAAUUUUUUAAUUAAGUAGUUCCAAAAUUAAAUUUCAUGUUAACAAUUUUGCUUUGAGGUAAAUGUUCAAAUUCAUAAGUAAUGUGUAAAUCCUGUUUAGUCACUAAUCAAAUACAUAUUUAUGGAAAAAGUCACAUUGAGCAAGAAGUGAAAUCACUAUUUGUGCUGAAUAAUUAAUUGAUUCAAAGCUCAAGAAACUUCUUUGAUAGUUCCAAGAAGCAGAUCUAUAAAAUGAUUUUUCAUACCAAACUAGACCAAUGUAAAACUUGAUAAAUUGUAAUAUCAUUAUAUGUUGAAGGUACUGGCAUUUGCAUAACAUUUUUCACCCAUUAGUUAAUAAAUUUUGUUUAUUUGACAACUCAAAUAAAACACUUAAAUACAGUAUACUUAAUAAGCUGUUGGAAUACGUAAUUUUUAUAUGUCCUUUCCGAAUACAUUUUACGCUUACUA